rnacentral:rRNA from 1 species
AUGGUUGGACGAAAUAUUAACUGUUUCAUUUAAAAUUUAAAUAGAAUUUUAUUUUUUAGUCAAAAAGCUAAAAUAAAUUUAAAAGACGAGAAGACCCUAUAAAUCUUUAUAUUUUAUUUAUUUUAAUUAUUAAGAUUAAUUUAAUUUUAAUAAAUUAAAAUAUUUUAUUGGGGUGAUAUUAAAAUUUAAAAAACUUUUAAUUUGUAAAAACAUUAAUUUAUGAAUAAUUGAUCCAUUAAUAAUGAUUAAAAAAUUAAGUUACUUUAGGGAUAACAGCGUAAUUUUUUUGGAGAGUUCAUAUCGAUAAAAAAGAUUGCGACCUCGAUGUUGGAUUAAGAUAUAAUUUUGGGUGUAGCCGUUCAAAUUUUAAGUCUGUUCGACUUUUAAAUUCUUACAUGAUCUGAGUUCAAACCGGUGUAAGCCAGGUUGGUUUCUAUCUUUAAAAAAUUAUAAUAUUUUAGUACGAAAGGACCAAAUAUUAAAAUAAUUAUAUUUAAUAUAAUGAAUAUUAUUAAUAU